rnacentral:rRNA from 1 species
CUUAUGUCUGGGGCUACAAACAUGAUACAAUGGGGAGGACAAUGGGUUGCCAAGCCGCGAGGCGGAGCUAAUCCCUAAAACCUCCUCUCAGUUGGGAUUGCAGGCUGAAAUUCGUCUGCAUGAACCUGGAAUUGGUAGUAAUCGCGGAUCAGAUAAGCCGCGGUGAAUACGUUCUCGCUCUUUGUACACA